rnacentral:rRNA from 1 species
AGUGAACGCUGGCGGUAGGCCUAACACAUGCAAGUCGAACGGCAGCACAGUAAGAGCUUGCUCUUACGGGUGGCGAGUGGCGGACGGGUGCGGAAUACAUCGGAAUCUACUUUUUCGUGGGGGAUAACGUAGGGACACUUACGCUAAUACCGCAUACGACCUACGGGUGAAAGCAGGGGAUCUUCGGACCUUGCGCGAUUGAAUGAGCCGAUGUCGGAUUAGCUAGUUGGCGGGGUAAAGGCCCACCAAGGCGACGAUCCGUAGCUGGUCUGAGAGGAUGAUCAGCCACACUGGAACUGAGACACGGUCCAGACUCCUACGGGAGGCAGCAGUGGGGAAUAUUGGACAAUGGGCGCAAGCCUGAUCCAGCCAUACCGCGUGGGUGAAGAAGGCCUUCGGGUUGUAAAGCCCUUUUGUUGGGAAAGAAAAGCAGCAGGUUAAUACCCCGCUGUUCUGACGGUACCCAAAGAAUAAGCACCGGCUAACUUCGUG